CUAAAGGAUGGAGGCGUGUUUUCUCCAUUAGUUCUGUCAGGUGGAUUAUUAUUACUAAUCCUCAUAAGGUCUCCAUUUUCUCCUGUUACAGUAUCGUGAACAUUUCCUGUUUCUGGAGAAAUUCAGGGGUUCUUCUUUUCCGAGGUUGUAGGUGCUCUAAAUGAUGAACUGCUUCCUUCAUUUUCUGCUCACCAGACCAUCAUCUGGUUAAUUAGCACUAAUUGAUGACGUCUGCCCACAUGAAUAACUAUCAGUGUUUAUGGGCUUUGAGACGUGGGAAGACUAAACCAAAUCCUAGAUUUGAAAAAAAAGCAAAAAUUAGGGAAAGAAAAAUGUCCCUCUUCCUUCAUGAUUCAUGCUGGAGUCUGUGCAGCCACAACAGGAGGUGCAGACGACCCGGGGAGCGAUCGGGCUCAGUGUACCAACGUGAUGCAACAGAUACUCACAUCUGUCACACAGAAGUGCAGACACAGGGCCCCGCCGGAGACAGGCGGGGACUCUGGUCCACCCGUCAAAGACUCUUCCACAGCUCACCCACAGAGAUGGAUAUGGGAGGAUCUGACAUCUUUCCAUCUGCUGGAGGAUGGAUGAGUUUCACCCGUUUGCACUUGACCUCAUUAACUCUGCACACAGCAACGCAUUCCCAGCUGCAUCCGGACCGUUCCAUUCCUGCAAGAGUUUUAGAAUGGCUGCUGAGGUUUGUACAGAUUAAAGUUACAUGGAAACUUGUUUUGCCACCGAGUUUGUUCUGAAGAUUCAGUUUGAGUAGAACAACAUGUGGGUGUUAGCCUUAGGCCGGCAGUGACUUCAUGUUCCUGUGUAGCUUGCACAACAUUGUAAGAUAAUGCCGGCAAACCUCCAACAUGACCUCUUAUUAAAACCUUUACUUCGCUGAGCUCAUAAAUCUUUUUUUUUAUGCUGAUGGUUAUCUCAACAUG